CCGGCACGCUCCACAAAUUCCCAGCUUCUGGCACGGAGAGCGCCAGAUGGGCUUCCCGAUGCUCCAGCGCAGUGCGGGAAAGCAAUUCCUGCGCGGCAGGGAUCGCCGGGAUGCUGAACCCGCUCUCCUGCCCCUACCCGUUAUUCCCACAUGGAUAUGGAGACGUUCCGAGCCACGGCAGGCUGUCUGAAUUCCCAAAAAGGAUUUGGAAGGCAGCAGGAUCCCGCCAGCGCUGUCGAGCACCUGCUGCCUUCCCUGGAUGUGUGAUCCUUGUGGGUAUUUUGGGAACGGGCCAUUUCAUUGCCUGGAUGAGGACUUGCAGCGCUCCAGCGGCGCCUGUCGCUCUUCCUGAUUCCUCUCCAAGAGCUGGGAAGGAGAGGGAAGUGUUGGUGUUCCAGAGGCUCCAGAGCCAUCCCUGUGGCUGGGGUGUGUCCGUGAUGUUCGACGGGGGCUUUAUCGGGAAGGUGCCGGAUUUAGAACGGCUCCACCGCGGUGCCAGGGAGGAUCCAACAACCCGGCUGCCAGCAGGAAUGGGAUGGGGAUCCAUCCUGGAGGAGCUGGAAGUGCAAAUCCCAGGGAGGGGUGUGAUGGUUAGAGCUGGACUGGAGUGGGAAUGUGGGCGCCCAUCUUGGAGAUACUCCCACUUCCCUCAUGCCAACACUUCCACCAGGGAUGAGAUGGGAUAUGGGCUGGGAUGGGAAGGGAAAGGGUGGGAAAGAAUAAGAUAGGAUGAGAAGGAAUGGGAAAGAAUGGGAUGGGCCACUAUCCCAGCACACAGGAGACAUCCAUGUGGAAGCCCCAGGGCAGCAGCACGAGGCAGGAGGAGCUGGAGCAGCUUCUGGAGAACUCUGGUAAAAUCCCAUUCUGAAUCCAGCCCUUCCUGAGUGGUUUUCCACAGGGACGAGGUGAGGUGGGAGAAUGGAGCUGGGGAAUGGAAUCCCUGGAAUGCAGCCCUGGGAAUGGGUGUGAAGGGCCAAGGGCAACCAAUGGCAUCAGGAGCACUGGGACAUGCUGGGAUGGGAGCGUGAGGAACUCUGGGAUGCACUGGAAACAUCAGCAUCCCUGGGAAGAGCACCAGGAUGCACCAGGAGCACUGGGAGAACUGGGAACAGAAGAAACACUGGAAUGCACCGCGAGCAUUGGGAUGCAUUGGAACUGGGUCCCUUCGAAGCACAGGGAUGCUCCAGGAGCGCUGGGAUGGCUGGGAAGAGGGAGCACCGGGACGCAGCGGGAUGCGCCGGUAGCCCCGGGAUGCGGCGGUGCGGUCUGAAAGCUCCUCCUCGUGGCUCCCGGGGAGAACUACCGGGAGAGGCCCGGGAUACACGGGAGAGCCCCGGUGCACGGCCCGGGCCGAGGCGCCGGGGCACGGAGCGUCCCAGCAUCCCGGGAAAUAUGGGGAGACGGGAAUUCCGGGAUGGAACGGAUCUCCCCGUUCCCGCAAGCAGCCGGGAUGGGACGGGGCCGCAUCCCGGCUCACCUGCCAUGGGAACGCCACCAGCGGGGACCACUCUCCGCACAGAGCCACCGACCAUCCCGGAAAAUCCCGGAGCGCCGCCGGGAUGGGGGGAUUCUGGGAAGGAUUGGUGUUAACGCAUGGAAUGUGAUUUCAGGCCACGGUCCUGGCUGAUCCAAGUGUGGGAGAGAGGCGGGAGUGGAAAAUCACUUCUGCUGCGAGCAGCAAUUCCUUUAUUUUUCCUUUUGCUGGCAAAGGUAUUGAAAAUGAGAGGGAGAGAGGAGGAAUGGGAACAUCCAGGACCCUCAGGGCAGCUGCAGCUGUGCUUCCAGAGAGCUUUCCAUGGAUGGUCAAAUGGAUUGCACUGGGUCCCCAGCCCAGCAGCUUGCUGGUACUCCAUGGGAGAUGUCCCUAAAGUGGUGGGAAUAUCGAGGAAUCCCUCUUAGGGAGCAGGGCCUGGCAGUAUCAGAGGGAUGCCUGGAAGGGAGGGAGGAGGUGUGGGAUUGGGGUAAUUUUUGGAGCCAAUGGUGGGGUUAUGCUUUGCUCAUCCCCUUUCGUACCUGAUCCAAGUGGGAUGUGCCACCAUUGGGAUCUCUCCCAGCUCUGUUAUUUGGGAAAGGGUCCCACCCCCAUUCCAUAUUGUGCCCUCCAGUCAGAGCUCCACAAGGAAAAGUCAAUACCUGACUUCCAAAAAAAGCAGCUGCUGGUGGCUUUUUAUAGCAACCUGUCCCAUUUGCAUCCUCCCUCAGCCCAGGCCCAGGGAGCCCGACCUCUGGCUAAAUUAGCUGUGCAUUCCCAAGGGAAACAGCCUUGGAAAAGCAGGAAGGGAGCUUGGC
ensembl:lncRNA